rnacentral:rRNA from 1 species
GAGACCCACGCCCACAGUUGCCAGCGUUCCCUCCGGGGAGAUGGGUACUCUGUGGGGACCGCCGCUGCUAAAGCGGAGGAAGGAAUGGGCAACGGUAGGUCAGUAUGCCCGAAUGUCCCGGGCUACACGCGAGCUACAAUGGUUGGUACAAUGGGUAUCGACCCCGAAAGGGGAAGGCAAUCUCAUAAAACCAUCCUAAGUUCGGAUUGAGGGCUGAAACUCGCCCUCAUGAAGCUGGAAUCCGUAGUAAUCGCGCUUCAACAGAGCGCGGUGAAUAC